AUACGUAGGGUGCAAGCGUUAAUUGGAAUUACUGGGCGUAAAGCGUGCGCAGGCGGUCUUGUAAGACAGAGGUGAAAUCCCCGGGCUCAACCUGGGAACUGCCUUUGUGACUGCAAGGCUGGAGUGCGGCAGAGGGGGAUGGAAUUCCGCGUGUAGCAGUGAAAUGCGUAGAUAUGCGGAGGAACACCGAUGGCGAAGGCAAUCCCCUGGGCCUGCACUGACGCUCAUGCACGAAAGCGUGGGGAGC
rnacentral:rRNA from 1 species